AGUAAACAACACCAAACCGAGACCGGUUUGAUUAAACCAAAUUCAUUUAUUCGUACCGAGACCGGUUCGAUAGAUUGAAGUAUAAAUAGUAAAACCAAAACUGAUUAUUUUCUUUUCCCCCCGAAUCUCCUCUCUCUGUCUAGGUUUCGAAUAGGGAAUUAGGGUUUCUAAUCUCUCUCUCUCUCAAUUGGAUUCUUGAACUCGGAUUCGUUCUUCAUCUCCCCCAUCGACAACCAUGACUGAGUAUUGGGUAAGUCAAGGGAAGAAGUGGUGCGAGUUCUGUAAGAUGUGGACUCAGAACAACGCGACAAGUAUUAGAAACCAUGAUGGUACACACGAGAAUCGUUCACCAGUGAGCCAAAACGGUUGCCUCUUUUGAGGUCACUCUUCAGAUUGGGUUCUUGACGCUGCUUCGAGCUGUUAUUACAACCAGAUCAAUGGUCUCCACUAUGACAAGUCUGGAUUAUAUUAUAGGACGUUGGGUGACACAAGAGGAGGCUUACGCUGCGGUUAAAACUUCAUCAGAUAAAGACACUAAUGCCUCUCGUUAAAAAACCUGUGCCUUCCUCAGAAGCUGGACCAAGUACGGCCAAACCACCUGGGAGGGUUGUCUUGGCAACAACAAGAGAAAGAGAAUAUAUGAGAAACGAGUUGAAGGCAGAGAAAAAUCGUUGCUUGGCCUUUACAACAGACCUUUUUGAUGAGAAACCAUUGAUUGAUCCUCUGUAACAGAGAACAGCAAUGCCCCAGUUUAUUCGGUUAUUCCUUCAAAACGUUUAAUCCAAAACUUUGUGGUAUUUCUCGGAAGAUUGGUCUUCUUGUUCUAAAUUCAUCACUUCCUCUUUGUUGUGCAUUUCUUUUUGUGGUCAGAGAGAGUUUCAACUUUGAAUACGGCUUGUGCCUUUAAGAAAAAAAUCAUCAAAAUUUAAUAAAAAAAAACCAUUUUUCUUUGUUU